UGCAGCGUUAAUAUUGUAGGGGAAAUACCUGUUCCCAUCCCGAACACAGAAGUCAAGCCCUAUGAAGUCGAAUGUACCCGCUGGGGAGAAUAGAAAGACGUUGCUU
rnacentral:rRNA from 1 species